rnacentral:rRNA from 1 species
GACGUAGGGCGCGAGCGUUGUCCGGAUUUAUUGGGCGUAAAGAGCUCGUAGGCGGUGUGUCGCGUCGGCCGUGAAAACCUGCAGCUUAACUGUGGGCGUGCGGUCGAUACGGGCAUCACUGGAGUUCGGCAGGGGAGACUGGAAUUCCUGGUGUAGCGGUGAAAUGCGCAGAUAUCAGGAGGAACACCGGUGGCGAAGGCGGGGUCUCUGGGCCGAUACUGACGCUGAGGAGCGAAAGCGUGGGGGAGCGAAC